UCCAUAAAUCAGACCCAAAUGUGGUCGAAUUUUUCAAAGCGCUAGCUCUUUGUCACACA
rnacentral:sRNA from 1 species